AGGAUAAUAGUCAAAUAUGAUACCUAACUUGCACUUAGGAGGUGUUACAAAGCUAACUUAUCUUA
rnacentral:tRNA from 1 species